rnacentral:rRNA from 1 species
AAUCAACGCUGGCGGCGUGCCUCAGACAUGCAAGUCGAACGAUUAAAGCUCUCUUCGGAGAGUGUAUAGAGUGGCGCACGGGUGAGUAACACGUAAGUAAUCUACCCUCGAGUGGGAGUAACGUCCGGAACGGACGCUAAUACCGCAUAAUGCAGCGGCACCGCAAGGUGACAGUUGUUAAAGAUUAUCGCUUGAGGAGGAGCUUGCGGCAGAUUAGCAGUUGGUAAGGUAAUGGCUUACCAAGGCUACGAUCUGUAACCGGUCUAAGAGGACGGUCGGUCACACUGACACUGAAU